UACGAAGGGGGCUAGCGUUGUUCGGAAUUACUGGGCGUAAAGCGCGCGCAGGCGGUUCUCCAAGUCAGUGGUGAAAGCCCGGAGCUCAACUCCGGAACUGCCAUUGAAACUGUUGAACUUGAGGACGAGAGAGGUGAGUGGAAUUCCCAGUGUAGAGGUGAAAUUCGUAGAUAUUGGGAAGAACACCGGUGGCGAAGGCGGCGACCUGGUCCGAUACUGACGCUGAGGCGCGAAAGCGUGGGGAGCAAACAGG
rnacentral:rRNA from 1 species